rnacentral:tRNA from 1 species
GGCGGAGUGGCGGAAUGGCAGACGCAUCCGACUCAAAAUCGGACGCCGUGAGGCGUGUGGGUUCAAGUCCCACCUCCGCUACCA